ensembl:lncRNA
UAAAGGGAAGGUUUCUUCACUCAUUUUGUCUCCACCACGUUGUCUACAGCUACCUGCCAGACAAAGACAAACUUCUCACUGAUGAAGAGUUUGGUACCAAGAAUCAAGUACAACCUGCUCCCCUUAUCUGGACUCCUGCUGGAUCUCAUGUUCCCGUUCACAUCCUGCCCCUGUGCUGUGGAGGACACAUGGGAUCAGUGCAGCCUGUGCUGGGAGCACUCAGCCUCACUGACGGGCCAGCAUCUGUGCACAACAUGCUGUGCAAACCCAAGGCUGCUGGCUGUGUCAGUAGCAUGUUUAGAGUUUCCCAAAUGAAAGGACUAAAAGAAAACCAAAAGGGAUUGCAGCUCAUGAAAACUCUCCAACCCAGCUUGAAACCAUCAGCCUCAGAGCACUUGGAAAUGAUGGGAAGGUGCACGGAUCUCCAUGGGUUACUCAGCCUUCUGCUGCCAUCACUGCACUGUUAUCAGUACCCAGCAAGCCAGAUGAAAGCUACUCCUGCUGUCUGCUCAAGUCACAGUCACACCUCCAGACUGCAGUACAGACACACCCUCUGUCUGAGAGUCUUACUCUACAUGAGUUCUUCCAGUUUUAAUAAAUUUGCAGUGAAAUAUUAAAC